rnacentral:rRNA from 1 species
AUUGAACGCUGGCGGCAUGCCUUACACAUGCAAGUCGAACGGCAGCACGGGAGCAAUCCUGGUGGCGAGUGGCGAACGGGUGAGUAAUACAUCGGAACGUGCCCAGUAGUGGGGGAUAGCCCGGCGAAAGCCGGAUUAAUACCGCAUGAGACCUGAGGGUGAAAGCGGGGGAUCGCAAGACCUCGCGCUAUUGGAGCGGCCGAUGUCAGAUUAGCUAGUUGGUAGGGUAAAGGCCUACCAAGGCAACGAUCUGUAGUUGGUCUGAGAGGACGACCAGCCACACUGGGACUGAGACACGGCCCAGACUCCUACGGGAGGCAGCAGUGGGGAAUUUUGGACAAUGGGCGCAAGCCUGAUCCAGCAAUGCCGCGUGCAGGAAGAAGGCCUUCGGGUUGUAAACUGCUUUUGUCAGGGAAGAAAUCUUCUGGGCUAAUACCCUGGGAGGAUGACGGUACCUGAAGAAUAAGCACCGGCUAACUACGUGCCAGCCGCCGCCGGAAGAC